CAACUCGUAACGGUGGAUGUCUUGGCUCCCACAUCGAUGAAGAACGCAGCAAAAUGCGAUACGUAAUGCGAAUUGCAGAAUCCGUGAAUCAUCAAAUCUUUGAACGCAAGUUGCGCUCGCGGGAAAUCCUGCGAGCAUGUCUGUUYGAGUGUCC
rnacentral:rRNA from 1 species